GAGCGAACGCUGGCGGCAGGCUUAACACAUGCAAGUCGAGCGGGCGUAGCAAUACGUCAGCGGCAGACGGGUGAGUAACGCGUGGGAACGUACCUUUUGGUUCGGAACAACACAGGGAAACUUGUGCUAAUACCGGAUAAGCCCUUACGGGGAAAGAUUUAUCGCCGAAAGAUCGGCCCGCGUCUGAUUAGCUAGUUGGUGAGGUAACGGCUCACCAAGGCGACGAUCAGUAGCUGGUCUGAGAGGAUGAUCAGCCACAUUGGGACUGAGACACGGCCCAAACUCCUACGGGAGGCAGCAGUGGGGAAUAUUGGACAAUGGGCGCAAGCCUGAUCCAGCCAU
rnacentral:rRNA from 1 species